UGAAACCAACAAUUGUAGAGAGGAAGUCAAAUGCAUAACUUCUACUUCUUGUACUUGUGGAAUCAGUUAAAGCUUGAGGGUUCAAUUUUGUUCUUGACCUCAAAUAGCUUAAAAGUACAUUAAAUUGUGAAUUUUCUAUGAACCAUUCAAAAAGACUUGGUGAUAUUUUGUGAUAAAAAUAUUAUAAAAUCAGACAUGAAGCUUGAUCAAAUAAAUGUAUUCAUGGAAGAGGCUCAGAGUUACUUAAGAGAUAUUAACUUGAUGAUAUUUUACAUUUAAUAAUUUAAGAAUAAAAUCACACAUUUAUGGGAAGAAACAUUAUCUUCCUUCCAAAGCUAAAAGGCUCCCAUCCAUCCAUCCAUUCAUUCAAACAUUCAUUCAGAAUUUAUUUAUCAUAGGCCUAUUAUAUGCCAGAAAGUCUUUUAGGAAUUGGGAAUAUAGAAAUAAGCAUAACAAACUCCUAUCUUUAUAUUUGAAGAUAUGUUACUUUUUAAUAAAGAGAGACAGAUAAUAUAAACUUAAAAAAUAUAGAAUAUGUCAGGUGAUGAUAAAUGCUAUGAAGGAAAACAAAGUAAGGAAGACAAAGAGUGAAAGGUAUUGGUAUUUUCUACAGAGUGGUCAGAAAAGGCCUCUCCAGGAAAAUAACAUUUGAGCAGAGGCUUUGAAAGGAGUGAGGGAAGAGUUAUGCAGAUAUCUGGGGGAAGACUGUUCCAGAGUGGUUGAGUCAGAGUGAGAGAAUGACAGUGGCAGGAGCUGAGGUUAGUGAGGCAGUGGGGGGUUAGCAAGUUGAAGGCAGAUAAUAUGGGGCUCUGUGGGCCAUCAUGAGGACUUCAGCUUUUACCUCGGCAUGAGAUGGGAAACCACUGGAGAAUCUAGAGGAGAAAGGGAUGAUCUGCCCUUCAACAGGAUCAUCCAGGCUACUCCGGUGAAUAUAGACCAUAUGAGGGCAAAGAUUGGAAGCUAGGUGAGCAGUUAGAAGGCUACUGCAAUAGCUAUGUGAGAGAGAUGAACUAGGAGAGUAGCAGUGGAGAUCUGAGAUACGGCAAAGUCUAGAUAUAACACAAAGGAAUAGCCGACAGAAUUUGCUUUUGGAUUGGCUGUAUUGUAGGAGAGAAAAAAUAGGGUGCAUUUUUGGGUUGAGCAAAGAGAAGAAUGAAGAUUCCUUGUACUGAGAUGGGGAAAACUGCAGGAGGAGUGGGUCUGAAAGAGGCAAGUUGGUUGCCAUGUUGUGAGCAGCCCCCUUGAAAGGCCCAUGUGAUGAUGAAUUGAAACCUCCUGUCAACAGCCAUGUGAGUGACCUAGGAAGCAGAUCCUGCAGCCCAGUCAUGCUUCAGAUGAGGCAUAUCUGAGGCACAGAGAGGUUAAGUUGGGGACUGAAGUGUGGCUCCAGAAUCUAAGUUUCUAACUGCCAUGCUAUGGUAAGUGAGAUUGGUAAGUGCACAUGAGGAACUCGUGAGCCUCAAAGUCAUUCAUCAAUGCAGCAUUCAAUGAUGGCUUACAUGAAGGUAUAGAGGUAGGCUCAUCACUUUUACCCAAACUCAAAAAACUGAAUUUUUAUUAAGAAAGAAGAAAGCAUGGAAGAUGGGCACCACCCUUCAUAAAUGGUCAUUUAAUUGGUUUUGGGUGCAUCCCAGGAAAUCAAAUUUCAAAAGCUCCCUAGGUGAUUCCAAUGUGCAGUUAGUGUUAACAAAUACUGUCGUAAGAAUUUUUCUUUUUAUAUUAAUUUAAAUAUCCAUUAAAAGAUAAGAACAGUUGAAACCACCUUUUCAAAAUGAUGACAGUAAGAUAAAUCUGAUAUAGUUGGCUCCAUCUUGCUUCUGACCUCCUUUGGUCAUUCCUGGAUGUAGGCCAAGGUAACUGUGGGAGGAAUUUAGUUUAUAGUUUAACUUUGAAGCAAGGAUGAUAAUAGUCUCUCCCUAAAACUACUCCCCUCCUUAUUCAGGGGCUGAAAAUACCUUUAUCAAACUAAUAAAAGGCCGCAAGAUUAGGAUUAUGGGAGGGGCCUGAGUUCUGCUAAAAUGUGGGCAUAGUUUUCAUAAUCCCUUUCUGCUCAGGAGUCAUGUGGCCAGAGGUCACAAUGUUUGUGACUUCCCCAAUUGCUCCUAUAGAUAACAUCACAUUGUGGAACCUAAGAUUGUUCUUUUGAGAUGUUUUUCAGACUGACCCCACUGGACUCAUGACUCAUGGACUCAGCUGGUCCUGUGGCCCUACCCAGAAGUGGACUCAGCACACGAGGACCAUUUCCCACACUCCUGUGAUUUCAUCCCCAAUUAUUCAGCAGUACCCUUUCCAUAGCCCCUUGCCCACCAAGUUGUCCAUAAAAACCCUAGCCUCUGAGCUUUUGGGGAGAUGGAGUUGAGUAAUAACUCCAUCUACUGCAUGGCUGGCCUUGUGUCAAUUAAACUUUUUUCUUUACUGCAAUAACAUGGUCUCAGUGAACUGAUUUUGUUCAUGCAGGAGGCAGGAAAAGCCCCUUGGGUGAUUACACAGUGGUUCUCAAAGUAUGGACCUCCAACCAGCAGCAUCAGCAGCAUCUGGAUACUUGCUAGAAAUGGAAAUUCUCUGGCCCUAUUCCAGGCCUUCCAAGUUGGAAACUUUGUGAUGGGGCCCAGCACUCUGUGUUUUAACAAGCCCUCUAGCCUUAAGGAAAACAACUCUGAGGACUUUUGUCACGGACUUGAAAUUCUCAUCUGUGCUUGGACAAGACUCUGAAACAUACCAACUGUGUAUUUUCCUGCCUUUGGUAAAUCUGGAGCUAUUAACUGAUUCUAAAGAACAUUUGACUUAAAAAGACUAUGGAAAGCCCAAAGAAUAAAGUAGAUAAUGAAGACCCCAGUGGAUUAUUAUUAGCAAAUGAAAACUGGAUAUCAAGAAGGGCAAAAUCUUCAACCUUAUCAGCAGAAAGAGUUUAUGUAAAAAUAUACCACAUAGAAUAACUAAAAAAAUAAGCAAGUGAUACCUUAUCUGAGCUCAAAAUAUCUGUUUCUUUGCAAAUGGAUAAAGGAUUUAUUAUAUUAUAGCACCUUGAGGACAGAGACUUUAUGUUUCUAACUACCCAUCCCAGCAUCAUCUAGUUCAUUCCUAUGCUGAACAGCCCCUAACACAUUGCCUAAAUAAAUACUAACAUUAUAUGUGUGCAAUGAAGUAUUCUUUUGCUAAAAGCAAAACUUUCAUAUGGUCUUACAAUAAGCCACUUGUAAGACUAGUUUUAAAUAAUUACUGAUACAAAUGCUGCCACUGCCCCCAAAGAAACCUGAAUAAAAUUAUGUUAGGCUGCACUAAUUUCAGUGUCAAGCUAUUUAACUCUGCUGAUAGUCAUUUUUUUAAAGAUCUUUUGAUCUUUAAAUUGAGAGAGUUGAACUAAAUAAUCUUUUAGAUAUCUUCUAGUUUAAUAUUCUAAGAUUCUAGUAAAUAUAUUGUGUUUGGUCAGGUGUGGUGGCUCAUGCCUGUAAUCCCAACAUUUUCAGAGGCUG
rnacentral:lncRNA from 1 species